rnacentral:rRNA from 1 species
CAGUAGCGUAUAUUAAUGUUGUUGCAGUUAAAAGCUCGUAGUUGGAUUUCUAGUCGACAUGCGUGGUCCGCUGCACCUAGUGUAUGUGAGUACCGCAGCGUGUCGCCUAUCCUAUCAGUUUGUCUGGGCUUCGGUCCGGGCUGACUGGUUCUUUUACUUUGAAAAAUUAGAGUGUUUAAAGCAGGCUUGCGCAAUGAAUACAUUAGCAUGGAAUAAUAACAUAGGACUUCGGUCUCUAUUUUGUUGGUUUCUAGAACUGAAGUAAUGAUUGAUAGGGAUAGUUGGGGGUGCUAGUAUUGAGCGGCCAGAGGUGAAAUUCUCGGAUUCGCUCAAGACUAACUUAUGCGAAAGCAUUCACCAAGGAUGUCUUCUUUAAUCAAGAACGAAAGUUGGGGGAUCGAAGAUGAUCAGAUACCA